CGGCUGUAGCCAGAUCCAAACGCCUCAGAGAAGUUUACUGGCCGUUUGUCGUUAAUCCUCCGUCGACAAUUCUGCUUACCGAACUUCUCACAUUC